rnacentral:rRNA from 1 species
GUAGGACUGAGACAUGGCACUUCAGAGGAUAGCAGAAGCGUUUGGGAAAGCGCGCCAGAGAGGGUGAGAGCCCCGUAAGCGAAAUCCAAAGAAGGCCUAUCAGUAUCCUGAGUAGGGCGGGACACGUGAAAUCCCGUUUGAAUCCGCGAGGACCAUCUCGCAAGGCUAAAUACUAACCAGUGACCGAUAGUGAACCAGUACCGUGAGGGAAAGGUGAAAAGAACCCCG